rnacentral:lncRNA from 1 species
GGCAUCUCACAUCCCAUCUAGCCAUGGCACACUUUAAACUUUAUCCCAUGCAAAUAGAGGGUUGAGAGGGCUUCAUCAUAAGCAUAGAUAUCAGAUAAGAAGAAGAUUUAAGACCCCUUCACUGAUCAAAAUAAUUUCAGCCUUAUCAUUUUGUGCACUAGACUUGAUAGAGUCCUAACCAACUUGGACUCUAUAUAUAGUGCUCCAAAUGGCUAAAAAAAUAUCCAAUAAAAUCUAGAUAAAUCUAGUCCAAGUUAGAACUUAACCCAAUUUAAUUAAUAGCCCAAUUGAGUUAGCCAA